GCCGAAGUGGUGAAAUUGGUAGACACGCUAUCUUGAGGGGGUAGUGGCCUCUGGUCGUGCCGGUUCAAGUCCGGCCUUCGGCACCA
rnacentral:tRNA from 1 species